rnacentral:rRNA from 1 species
UACGUAGGGGGCAAGCGUUGUCCGGAAUCAUUGGGCGUAAAGAGCGUGUAGGCGGCUCGAUAAGUCUGCUGUGAAAGUCCAGGGCUCAACCCUGGAAGGCCGGUGGAAACUGUCGGGCUAGAGUCCGGAAGAGGCGAGUGGAAUUCCCGGUGUAGCGGUGAAAUGCGUAGAUAUCUGGAGGAACACCUGCGGCGAAGGCGGGUUGCUGGGCUGACACUGACGCUGAACUGCGAAAGCUAGGGGAGCGAACGGG